UGUUCGGAACCGGCAGGUAGCUGGUAGGAAUAAGAUCCAGGAUCACUGGCUUCCCACUCCCCACCAAAUUGUGAGUCAGUUGAGUCCUAAUAGAUCAGUAUACACAGUCGUUCCAGUGGAUGGGUCGCGUGCCCCCAAGAAUGUCAACAGAGGGGAGCUUCGGCUUUGUGCCCCAGGACUAAACGAUACAGAAGUCAGGCCCAUGCAAGAGCAAGAUGGAGAAAGCUGUGACGAAGAUUCUAGUCUAGGGAGUAUCGUAAUUGAAGCUCUGGAUGAAGAGGAGGAGGAGGAGGAGGAGUUAGCUGCCGUACAGGUGGAGCGGCACGAGGAUCCCUGGGAACAGGCAGCCGAGAUGGAAAGAGGAGAUUCCCCCCCCUUGGCCAUGAGACGGGCAAAGCGCAGCACGGCAGGCAUGCAUUCAAACCCUUUUAAUUGGCCUAGGUCGUCUAUCCGCAAGGGGGAAGAGUAAGGUUAGCUGCGACCAGUGGGGACACUGAUUUUUCUUUGGGGGGGUAUGUGUGGCCAGGUGGAACCUUUCCAUUGGCCAGGUGUUUUGAGGCAGGGCAUAAAUACCUGUGACACCGGGCGGGGUCGAGGAAACAAACAUUUCCACCUUGUGGCGUUGGGUGCAGCAGUGUUGUCACUGUUGUCGGCCGUCCAGUUUCACUGACGGUAGUUGCUGUUAUGCCUGAGCCGGUGUUGAGCAGUAAGAAGCCAGACUGAGGUCCUGUUGCCCAGUGUGAAGUGUGUCUGUAAAGUAGUACACCGUACUGAGGAGUCGUGGAGCAAGUAGCCUGCUCCAGUCCACUGUGUCUAUUCAGACUGAGCUUGAGCACCUUUUGAG